GAUGGCUAAUGAUUAACAGACCCUGCCAGAGUUCUCCUCAGACGUCCCUGAGUCUCUGAGAUGCAAGUUUUCCAGCUGAUUUUAAAACAUGGAUAGCUAGCUGAUGGUAUUUAGCUACUUAAUGGACUGGAAGGAAACAUCUUGUUUUGGCAAGUGACUGUAGGGAGCCAGAUGGAAGAAAGCAGUUCCAAUGGGGACAGCCUCACUGUGAUGACCUCAGGAGCCCAUACUCAGAUGUGGUUGCUUCUUAAACACCUAUCUCCCUUUCGGAUGAAGUGGCGUUCCUGGAAGGAUCUGAGCCUGAGGUAAAACUGGAAGAGCUCAAACCAACCCAGCAGCACAGUUCCCAUGGCUGCAGAGAAAAGCUCAGUGCUGUGACUGCCUGUUAAUCACCUGGAUUCAGGAAAAAAGGACAAUGUCUUUCAACAAAGAACAAACCUGAAAAACCCUGGAUGCAUAAGAGGAGGCCAUAUUUGAGUAAAAUGGCUCAGCACUUGCCCCAAGAAUAGAACAUAUCCUUUAUUUACUUUUGCAAAAAAAUACUUGUUACUUAAAUUUAUUAAAAUACUGUCUAUCUAGAAGAGCCUUUAAAAGCAAAUGGCAUGUGGUGGUUUGCACUAAUUAUCUCAAGGGAAUGUCUUCCUGAAUAAACAGUUACUUUACUUGCUGCCUGGAAAUACAGUUUUUGCUACCAACAACCAAUUGCUUUUUGCUUCCCUUUUGAAAUGGUCAAUGGUAAAGAAACUGUCAGUGUUGAACAGUCUUGAAAUGGUAUCUGCCAGUUACCACGGUGUUGGAAAAAGGGAAUAUGUGUCAUAUAUCAAGAGAAUGUAUUUUAUAUCAAAGGAAAUGCUGGCAAAACCACAAAACCACCACUACAAUUUCUGCAUGAGGCUGAUGAAUAGUUUGACAGAAACACUGAGGGUCACGGCAGUGUGUUCAGUGAGAUGGAGGGGAUGGGUCCAGCUCAGCUGGAGCAGAGUCAGAAGAGACACUCACAAUUACCUCUCCCUUCAGUUGCCUUGGCUCUUCCCAGCUCUCCUCCCCACCAAACCCAGGCAGAACUGGAGAGGCUGAGAUGCCCUCAGAGCUCCUGGGAAGCACAAAGCUGGUCAGGCUGAGGAAGGCAGCGAGGGCUGGAAGAGAGGUAAGGCUGCACAGCAAGUUCCUGGGCUGAGUACAACACAAAAACUCAUUUGAAACUUGAGGAGAAGCAUAGAAAUUCCACAUUUCCAAGUAGGCAGCAAAAACUCCUCCAGGGAAGCACUGCCAGAGCAGCCUCAUGUGGGAGUGUGGGCCAGGGUGAUGCCCAGAGUGGGUGGGUUGGGCUGCAUUAUCAAAGCCUUGAACACAAGAGACAGGCCAAACUGCCAGGCAGAUGUUUGUAUUGCUGGUCUGUUUUUUAAAUCUUCAGAUUUGUUUAGCCCCAGAGAUAAGAUACUGCUGCAGUUUGCUUUGUGAGCAAACUGACUGUGAGUGGUGCUGGGCUCAGAAACCCACCCACGUGUGUAAGGCUGCCAGGUGGUUUUCCACACUGAGCGUGGAGAAAGAGGAAAGGCUGCAGAAACUGAUGGUGCAGCAUGGACAGAGGUAUCAGAGCCAAGUGUUUUCCAUUAGCCAACUCAGAUGGCCACAACAGCCUCCCCCUCCUCUCGGGACCCCCUCACCCUUUGCCAGAGCUGAGGGAGUUCUCACAGGAGACAAGAAUCCACUCCCUUGCUGGCACCAGCUCUCCCACUGCAAAUUGGGAAUUACUUGCAAUAGUAACUCUACUGCAGUCACACAGUGUCAUCAAAGACACUCUGAAGAAAACCUGACCAUCCAGACCAUUUUCCUCCUAAGGAUGCAGCUUCAACCAUUCCUGCCCCCACCUGUAUUGCCCUCAGCUGGCACCUCUCUCCUGACCAGUUCUGCAUGGCCUGCCUGCUCCAGUAUCCUCCUCCCUGACUCAGGACAGACUUGUAUCACCCUGUUUUUUUAAGAUCCUCCACUCCACAAGGGGAUUUCAAGGGGAUUUCUGGAAGAUGUGGAUACUUCAUUCAUGACAAGAGGUGUUCUUCCAUGGGUUUGCACUGAACAUGGCUCGGAGCACAUAACCACUAAAAAGGACCUUUUUUAUCUUUUAACUUUCAAAUUACAUGGAAAUACAGUAUGAAGUAUAUAAACAAUAAUAAAUAAUAUGCAAAACA